rfam:Ovis aries breed Texel chromosome 1, whole genome shotgun sequence.
UCCCUUGUGGCUAAGAGGUUAAAGUGCCUGCCUCUAAUGCAGGAGACCUGGGUUCGAUUCCUGGGUCAGGAA